GAUACAUCUCAUCAACAGCAGCAUCCACUAGUUAUUGAUAUUAAACCAUAAGAUGUCUAUUAAAAUUAAACUACAUUAUCUUAUGAUCUGCAAACCUCGAGCCACAGAAAAGGCUUAUCCGGCAGAUGCAAAAUCUAAUCUGCAAAGUUUUACCUCACACCUUAAAUAGGAGGCUUAUCUGGCAGACACAAAAUAUCCUCUGCUUUUAUCAAUAACCAAUCAAAAAACAUAAAAGAAAAAUCUGUCCAUGAAAAUGCAUUAAUCAUGCAUGUCAAUGAUGAGGGCACCCUUCAUCAAUCUUCUUCAGCCUUUAAAAGUAGGCAGAGUCCUUUUAUUUGAAAAUCUCAGAUAUCAAAGGAACUCCAUGGCCAACUGACUCCACACCACAUAAUGUACUCAUUCUGCAAUAUAUA
rnacentral:misc_RNA from 1 species